rnacentral:rRNA from 1 species
UACGGGGGGUGCAAGCGUUAUUCGGAAUCAUUGGGCGUAAAGGGCGCGUAGGCGGCUAUCUAAGUCAGAUGUGAAAGCCCGGGGCUUAACCUCGGAAGUGCAUUUGAUACUGGAUGGCUUGAGUAUGGGAGAGGGAAGCGGAAUUCCUGGUGUAGAGGUGAAAUUCGUAGAUAUCAGGAGGAACACCUGUGGCGAAGGCGGCUUCCUGGACCAAUACUGACGCUGAGGCGCGAAGGCGUGGGGAGCAAACAGGAUUAGAUACCCUGGUAGUCCACGCAGUAAACGUUGUUCACUAGGUGUAGCGGGUAUUGACCCCUGCUGUGCCGAAGCUAACGCAUUAAGUGAACCGCCUGGGAAGUACGGCCGCAAGGUUAAA